rnacentral:rRNA from 1 species
UACGUAGGAUGCUAGCGUUGUCCGGAUUUACUGGGCGUAAAGCGCGCGCAGGCGGCUCUUUAAGUAUGGCGUGAAAUCUCCCUGCUCAACGGGGAGGGUGCGUUGUAGACUGGAGGGCUUGAGGUCGGUAGAGGGGGGUGGAAUUGCUGGUGUAGCGGUGAAAUGCGUAGAGAUCAGCAGGAACACCCGUGGCGAAGGCGGCCCCCUGGGCCGAUCCUGACGCUGAGGCGCGAAGGCUAGGGGAGCGACCCGG